UAAAGGUUUGGUCCUAGCCUUGAAGUCAGUUCUUAUUUAAUAUACACAUGCAAGUCUCCGCACCCCUGUGAAAACGCCCUCAAACUUCCCGUUAGGAAGCAGGAGCUGGUAUCAGGCACACUCUGCCGCCCAAAACACCUAGCCUCGCCACACCCACAAGGGACUUCAGCAGUGAUUAACAUUGAGUAUAAGCGACAGCUUGACUCAGUUAAACUAAUUAGAGCCGGCAAAUCUGGUGCCAGCCGCCGCGGUUACACCAUCGUGGCUCAAAUUGACUUUCAUCGGCGUAAAGCGUGAUUUAAGCACAUACAAUCUUGGAGUUAAAUUUAGGCUAAGCUGUGACACGCUUGUUAUUUAAGAAACUCAAAAUCGAAAGUUGCUCCAAUUAAGCCAACUUGAAUUCACGACAACUGAGAAACAAACUGGGAUUAGAUACCCCACUAUGCUCAGUCGUAAACUUUAAAUUACAUCAUACUCGCCUGGGAACUACGAGCCAAGCUUAAAACCCAAAGGACUUGACGGUACCCCAUAUCCCCCUAGAGGAGCCUGUCCUUUAAUCGAUGAUCCACGUUUAACCUCACCAUUUUUAGCUUAUUCAGUCUGUAUACCUCCGUCGCCAGCUUACCCCGUGAGUGCCAGUGAGCUCAAUGUUUAUUCAACAAUACGUCAGGUCAAGGUGCAACUUAUAAAAUGGAAAGAGAUGGGCUACAUUUUCUAACAUAGAUUAUACGGAAAACUACUUAUGAAACCUAGUCGGAAGGCGGAUUUAGCAGUAAAUAGGAACCAGAAAGUCCUUUUUAACUCGGCACUGGGGUGUGUACACACCGCCCGUCACCCUCCUCUUACGCCAAAGAGUAGUUUUUAACAAAAUUCAGCUUUUCAGAUGAGGUAAGUCGUAACAUGGUAAGCAUACCGGAAGGUGUGCUUGGAAU
rnacentral:ncRNA from 1 species